rnacentral:tRNA from 1 species
GUUUGUGGCUCAGUGGUAGAGCGCUCGCCUAGCACGUGUGGGCCUGGGUUUGAUCCUCACCACAUAACA